GUAUUUCUUUGUAGGCUCAAGUGUGUGGUUGUAAGAUCAUCUAGAAAUCAUUUUAGGAGUUCAGAUAUUGGACUUCAAAGAAUGCUACAGAGAGUCAGCUUUUCACCAUCUGACAGUUGCCAAUAGGAACCAAAAGAUGGCUGCUGCCCAGAAGCAUGUGCUGCGUGUGUAUGUUGCACGAGACAC